CCGAGCACAAACAAAACAAAGCACGCCUGUCAGCGGUAGUUUACUUUAAAUUAAAGUCUUUAGCCGAAAAAUAGCUGGCUUGUAUUCUUAUUUACAGCUGCAAAAUGCUAGAACAGCGUUACCAGUGUGUCAAUCAUCACUUAAUGCCGGAGCGUCUUGUUAUAUCUUAAAUUGUUGUUCAGACUCGGCUCAGAGCACAAAGAUAAUAGCAAAGUAAUGCUGCUCGUUCAAUCGGCAAGAAAGGAAUCACAUGGAUACCACAUUAGCAAUGAGGAUUGCGUCACAAUCCGGUACGAGGGAGUAACGUUAGUAGGUGGAGGUUUCAGAGGACAGAUGCAGUAUCUUCAUCAGUUUAGUCUGUAGAAAGAUCUCUUAUAAAGAAUGUUGUUUCAGCAUAUGUGAUCUCCUCUUCACCCGUCUGAACGGCUUCUACAACAAUAAUAGACACAUAAUACUCUUACUUGAUCUGUUUCUUUACAAAUGAUCAUUUAGUAUUAUUACAGUAGCAUUAGUUUCCACUUGCCUUCCUG